rnacentral:rRNA from 1 species
AAAAGAACCAACAGGGAUUGCCCUAGUAACGGCGAGUGAAGCGGCAACAGCUCAAAUUUGAAAUCUGGCUCCUUUGGGGUCCGAGUUGUAAUUUGCAGAGGGAGCUUUUGGCGUCGGUCGUGGUCUAAGUUCCUUGGAACAGGACGUCACAGAGGGUGAGAAUCCCGUACGUGGCCGCCGGCCUUCGCCUUGUAAAGCCCCUUCGACGAGUCGAGUUGUUUGGGAAUGCAGCUCUAAAUGGGAGGUAAAUUUCUUCUAAAGCUAAAUACCCGCCAGAGACCGAUAGCGCACAAGUAGAGUGAUCGAAAGAUGAAAAGCACUUUGGAAAGAGAGUGAAAAAGCACGUGAAAUUGUUGAAAGGGAAGCGCUUGCGGCCAGACGUGCCCGCGGUUGAUCAUCCAGGCUCCAGCCUGGUGCACUCCUCCGCGGGCAGGCCAGCAUCAGUUCGGGCGGUCGGAUAAAGGCCUCUAUCACGUACCACCCCUCGGGGUGGCCUUAUAGGGGAGGCGCAACACGGCCAGCCCGGACUGAGGUUCCGCGCAUCUGCUAGGAUGCUGGCGUAAUGGCAGCAAGCGGCCCGUCUUGAAACACGGACCAAGGAGUCUAACAUCUAUGCGAGUGUUUGGGUGUCAAGCCCGAGCGCGCAAUGAAAGUGAACGGAGGUGGGAACCCUUACCGGUGCACCAUCGACCGAUCCUGAUGUCUUCGGAUGGAUUUGAGUAAGAGCAUAGCUGUUGGGACCCGAAAGAUGGUGAACUAUGCCUGAAUAGGGUGAAGCCAGAGGAAACUCUGGUGGAGGCUCGCAGCGGUUCUGACGUGCAAAUCGAUCGUCAAAUUUGG